UUAGAGUUUGAUCCUGGCUCAGAUUGAACGCUGGCGGCAUGCCUUACACAUGCAAGUCGAACGGUAACAGGUCUUCGGAUGCUGACGAGUGGCGAACGGGUGAGUAAUACAUCGGAACGUGCCUGGUAGUGGGGGAUAACUACUCGAAAGAGUGGCUAAUACCGCAUGAGAUCUACGGAUGAAAGCAGGGGAUCGCAAGACCUUGUGCUACUAGAGCGGCCGAUGGCAGAUUAGGUAGUUGGUGGGAUAAAAGCUUACCAAGCCGACGAUCUGUAGCUGGUCUGAGAGGACGAUCAGCCACACUGGGACUGAGACACGGCCCAGACUCCUACGGGAGGCAGCAGUGGGGAAUUUUGGACAAUGGGCGCAAGCCUGAUCCAGCAAUGCCGCGUGCAGGAUGAAGGCCUUCGGGUUGUAAACUGCUUUUGUACGGAACGAAAAGCUCUGGGUUAAUACCCUGGGGUCAUGACGGUACCGUAAGAAUAAGCACCGGCUAACUACGUGCCAGCAGCCGCGGUAAUACGUAGGGUGCAAGCGUUAAUCGGAAUUACUGGGCGUAAAGCGUGCGCAGGCGGUUUUGUAAGACAGUGGUGAAAUCCCCGGGCUCAACCUGGGAACUGCCAUUGUGACUGCAAGGCUAGAGUGCGGCAGAGGGGGAUGGAAUUCCGCGUGUAGCAGUGAAAUGCGUAGAUAUGCGGAGGAACACCGAUGGCGAAGGCAAUCCCCUGGGCCUGUACUGACGCUCAUGCACGAAAGCGUGGGGAGCAAACAGGAUUAGAUACCCUG
rnacentral:rRNA from 1 species